ACCCGCUGAACUUAAGCAUAUCAAUAAGCGGAGGAAAAGAAACCAACAGGGAUUGCCCUAGUAACGGCGAGUGAAGCGGCAACAGCUCAAAUUUGAAAUCUGGCGUCUUUGGCGUCCGAGUUGUAAUUUGCAGAGGGCGCUUUGGCAUUGGCAGCGGUCCAAGUUCCUUGGAACAGGACGUCACAGAGGGUGAGAAUCCCGUACGUGGUCGCUAGCCUUUACCGUGUAAAGCCCCUUCGACGAGUCGAGUUGUUUGGGAAUGCAGCUCUAAAUGGGAGGUAAAUUUCUUCUAAAGCUAAAUACUGGCCAGAGACCGAUAGCGCACAAGUAGAGUGAUCGAAAGAUGAAAAGCACUUUGGAAAGAGAGUUAAAAAGCACGUGAAAUUGUUGAAAGGGAAGCGCUUGCAGCCAGACUUGCCUGUAGUUGCUCAUCCGGGUUUUUACCCGGUGCACUCUUCUAUAGGCAGGCCAGCAUCAGUUUGGGCGGUUGGAUAAAGGUCUCUGUCACGUACCUCCUCUCGGGGAGAACUUAUAGGGGAGACGUAAUGCAACCAGCCUGGACUGAGGUCCGCGCAUCUGCUAGGAUGCUGGCGUAAUGGCUGUAAGCGGCCCGUCUUGAAACACGGACCAAGGAGUCUAACAUCUAUGCGAGUGUUUGGGUGUCAAGCCCGAGCGCGUAAUGAAAGUGAACGGAGGUGGGAACCUUUCGGGGUGCACCAUCGACCGAUCCUGAUGUCUUCGGAUGGAUUUGAGUAAGAGCAUAGCUGUUGGGACCCGAAAGAUGGUGAACUAUGCUUGAAUAGGGUGGAGCCAGAGGAAACUCUGGUGGAGGCUCGCAGCGGUUCUGACGUGCAAAUCGAUCGUCAAAUUUGGGCAUAGGGGCGAAAGACUAAUCGAACUAUCUAGUA
rnacentral:rRNA from 1 species